rnacentral:tRNA from 1 species
GCCCAUAUAGCUCAGUGGUAGAGCACUUCCUUGGUAAGGAAGAGGUCACCGGUUCAAUCCUGGUUAUGGGCU